CCCGUACUGAGACGGUGACACCCCAUACUGAGACGGUGACACCCCGUACUGAGACGGUAACACCCCGUACUGAGACGGUAACACCCCGUACUGAGACGGUAACACCCCGUACUGAGACGGUAACACCCCGUACUGAGACGGUACUAGACGGUAACACCCCGUACUGAGACGGUAACACCCCGUACUGAGACGGUAACACCCCGUACUGAGACGGUAACACCCCGUACUGAGACGGUACUGAGACGGUAACACCCCGUACUGAGACGGUAACACCCCGUACUGAGACGGUAACACCCCGUACUGAGACGGUACUAGAAGGUAACACCCCGUACUGAGACGGUAACACCCCGUACUGAGACGGUACUAGAAGGUAACACCCCGUACUGAGACGGUAACACCCCGUACUGAGACGGUAACACCCCGUACUGAGACGGUAACACCCCGUACUGAGACGGUAACACCCCGUACUGAGACGGUAACACCCCGUACUGAGACGGUAACACCCCGUACUAAGACGGUACUGAGACGGUAACACCCCGUACUAAGACGGUAACACCCCGUACUGAGACGGUAACACCCCGUACUGAGACGGUAACACCCCGUACUGAGACGGUAACACCCCGUACUGAGACGCUA